AAGCCCAUAGCUUUUCAAUCUGAGAAACUCAAAAUGAAUACCUAUUCCGUUGUCUGGUUGGUAAUGAUUGGCAUUGUAAUGUGGUACCCAACAGAAAAGCCCGAUCCACCUAAAGUGCCCAUAGAUUUCAACAAGUAGUAAUUAUAUUUAUAUUUACUUUCAAUAAAAAUGCAGAUGUAAAAAGAAAAA